rnacentral:lncRNA from 1 species
GAGAAUGGCCUUGAUUGAUUGGUCAAUGAGCAGUACAACAGUAUGGGCCUAAAAAUAAGGCUUAAGUUUUCUUGCUGUGAUAACCAACACAAAAAUCAACUUUUUCAGUUUGAAUAUCUGAUCUCGGCAUCAUGAAGGACUUUGCUGGUGUAAUAUAUUGACUUUUGAAUCCAUCCUUUUUUUCAAACAAGAACUACAUUGAUCGCCACUGGAGAGAUAGUAAGGUAUAGUAGUAGUUCUUUAUCAGGUUGAGGCUUCGUAAGC